AUGUAGUGCCAUCAUUGAGGAUAGAAGUCAGCUGUUGGUCUUGUAUAACCUCCAUUAAGUCUUUCCACCAAACUGAUUCAUUAUUCCCUCUACUGCCUUCCACCAAAGAUCUCCAACCACCAUACUUGGAGUCCAAUAUCUUGGACCAUAGCUUGUUGCUUUGCUGAAAUAUGUCCCACCUCCAUUUGCCAAGAAGAGCCUUGUUGAAAGCCCUUAUAUCUUUUAUACCGAGGCCCCCUCUUUCCUUUGGAAGACAAACUGUUUUCCAGUUCACC
rnacentral:misc_RNA from 1 species